CAGCCCCAGGGUCCCUGAGAUUCUGUCUUCCUAUCUCAUCUCUUGCUGGUUUCCUCAAAACAGUUCUCUCUGUUCUUUUUCUCUAGAAAUGCUUUGAAGAUUCUGAGUCUCCAUCACCCAGGAGGAAUGCCCCCCAGGGGCCCGUGACUCCAGAACACCUACGACCCCAGGGGGGCUGGGAGGAGGACCGUUCUGAGACCCUGAAAGAAGCCGUGGAUGCUGCCCCAGAGGAAGGCCAACCUCGGGGCUCCAGAGCAAUUAAGCCAACCCCAACGUCCUGGCUCCAGGAAGCCGCGAGGCUCCGAGUUUACUGCCGUUUCCUUUCCCUGGGCUGCUCCAGCUCCAUUCUGGCCGAUCGGUGCCACCGAGGGGCUCCCGAGAGCCAGCGUGGGCUGGGGCGGGGGCACCAGCGGCCGCGGGUACAUGUGGCUUCCAGGCCGCGGGCCGAGGCACUGAUGUGUGGUAUAAUCGAAAACAUCCCGCAGUAAUUUAAUAGUUCCCACCAAGCACAGACACGAAGUCUAGCAGCCCUUCCCUCCACACGCUGAGCCCUGGGAGGCGGGGGGAGGGGGGACGCCAGCAGAAACGGGAAAUCCAUCUGCAGGGCCGCUGCCCAGGGACUUUCAUGCUUCUCUUUGGGUUUGGCUCUGAUGUUACAGAGAAAGAUGUGCACUCAGGAAACAUGCAGGAAGCAGGGGUUUGCAUUAAAUGUCUUGUCCAGCCCUGGCAGGGGUCGGGGAUGGUGGGGCGCGAGGACCCUCACACACUGGGCAGGCUGGGACACCUCUGAAAGAACAGAAAGCAACAUUGGUCAACACGGUGACCAGUGGGUGCCCUUUGUGAAGAGCGCUUGAAUCCCACGUGGAGGGGAUGCCCAGGGAGGGAGCUGACUGAAGACAUUCUGAGUCCACGUCCCCCCCACCCCCCACCCUGAGAACCAUCAGUGGGGAGAUCCCCGGGCACCCCCUCCUGCGAGUGGAUUUGUGACCAGGCAGGUAACAAAAGUGGAAGCACGAGCUUGGGAAGAAAUCUGUCUUCCAGUCAGAAGUUUUCUUUUUCAAUCACAA